AUCUUGCUCACGAGUCUCGAAUAGGACGAAACGUGCGUCAUGGAU
rnacentral:hammerhead_ribozyme from 1 species